UCUCAUCUUAAGAUGUGACAUUAUGUUUGCACUAGGAUGCGAGAGAAAACCUCCCUGCACUUCCUGCUUGUCUCUGUGGCAGUCCAGAUUGAAUUGGGGAGUACAUCU